GGGUUGCUUUAUUCGGUGAUGGCUAGAG
rnacentral:piRNA from 1 species